GUCGCGAGCACAUGGAAGUGAGGUUUGAGAUUUGUGUCUGAGAGACGUUCGAGCGACUGUCGGGAAAACGGAAUAUAAAGUGAAUUAAAGAAGCAGCCCGAGCAGCCCGAAACGGCAGUGAGGAGGAGACGUCAGGAGGGGCAAACGGAGGAUCCAAUCCUGGGUGGAGGUUUGAACCUACUGGUUAACACAAUGAAACCAAGGGAAGGAAGCGCUCUCUCAGCCCGCUGGCUUUCCUCUGCAGCAGCUGUCGGUCAGCGUCAGUUGGUGUAUCUCGGAAACACAGAUCGCUAAUGAGGCUGGAGCUCUCGAGGACUGCCUGGCCCUGAACUCAGCAUCACACGGUGCUAAGUGACGAGGAUCCCCUGCUGCACCCAGGGAGGGUUAUGCAUCUAAAACGUGAAUAUUAUAUACGUCACGUCGAAUCAGGAGACGGGUGCUCUCAUCUGCAGCUUGAGCUGUCUGGCUUUGAGAUCUCGCUGUGCUCGGGGUGGUCCUGCAAACUCAGGAAAGUCCAGGUACGAUUUGAUUAAUGUGGGUUUUGGCUCGUCUGGACAGAAACAUCAGCAAGGACACUGUGGACGUAAAAUGCUUCUGCUGCUGCUGCUGUGAUGGUGGUGUUGCAGACCCCCCAUGCAGGCCAGAUCUUUCUGCAGCUUCUGCACCGACACAUGAUCUGACUAGGAAGGAUGCAAAGGUGGAAGCAGACCGUGCUGGAUUUAGUUUCACAGCAUCUUACUGGAGCAAACGCACACAACAUACUGCAAGGUUUUCAGUAGUAUCUACUUCCCCCUUUUUUUUUCUUUUUUUUGUUUGAGAGGACACGGAUACACCCUGACUGGGCCCCUGUAGUGCUCUACAUUGUGGUUGGGAAGUACCUAGUUUUACAACUGUCAUGCUGGCCUGCUUAAAGGGACAGUGCUGAUCAAUUCGAAGCACAUAUUCAGGGGUCUUUUAGUCACCCUAACAAGGGGGUCACAUGGAUGUUUGAGUCGUCAUUCCUCAUGUGAGGAAUGUGCAGUCCGAAGAGCCGCUUUCUGCAUCAAGCACUGCAUAAAAAUACUGAUUGAUAUUUGUUAAAAGAAUGUCUUUAAUAAAAAGUUGAAUUGAAUUGGGUGUGAGAGUUUCCUGCUUUUGAAAAACGAAAGAGAGAAGACUCACAACUCUACAGGUUCUUUUUAGUCUGAAUGCAUAGUGGAUUUGUUUU
ensembl:lncRNA